rnacentral:rRNA from 1 species
UGGUGGAGCGAUUUGUCUGGUUAAUUCCGUUAACGAACGAGACCUCGACCUGCUAAAUAGUACAACGAACUCAUUUGCAGUUCGUGCGCGACUUCUUAGAGGGACUAUCGGUGUGUAGCCGGUGGAAGUUCGAGGCAAUAACA